rnacentral:rRNA from 1 species
GAUGAACGCUAGCUACAGGCUUAACACAUGCGAGUCGAGGGGAAACGGCAUUGACUGCUUGCACUCUUUGGACGUCGACCGGCGCACGGGUGAGUAACGCGUAUCCAACCUUCCCAUUACUGUGGGAUAACCUGCCGAAAGGCAGACUAAUACCGCAUAGUCUUCGAUGACGGCAUCAGAUAUGGAGUAAUGAUUUAUCGGUAAUGGAGGGGGAUGCGUCUGAUUAGCUUGUUGGCGGGGUAACGGCCCACCAAGGCUACGAUCAGUAGGGGUUCUGAGAGGAAGGUCCCCCACAUUGGAACUGAGACACGGUCCAAACUCCUACGGGAGGCAGCAGUGAGGAAUAUUGGUCAAUGGACGGAAGUCUGAACCAGCCAAGUAGCGUGCAGGAUGACGGCCCUAUGGGUUGUAAACUGCUUUUGUAUGGGGAUAAAGUUAGGGACGUGUCCCUAUUUGCAGGUACCAUACGAAUAAGGACCGGCUAAUUCCGUG